rnacentral:lncRNA from 1 species
CUCUCAACAGUGCUGCAUUGGGAGCCAACCCUCGAAUAGACGAUUUUUGAGGACUAGUACUUGGAAGAGAUGAGAGAAGGUUGCAAGGAGGUGAGAAGUAUAUGAAUCAGUUCCUGGGGUGUCCUGAAGCUCUGAAGAAAAUGACUUGAAACAAUUCCAGCUCUCACUUUUUUCCUUCAAUCAAUUCCCAGCUGGGCUGUGACAGAAGGCAGAUGAUAAGAAAAGGAAGGAGAGCAAUAAAGCGCAGCCGCUUUACAAGAGAAGAAAAAGUUUCCCAGAGGGAAGUAAAGAAGGAAAGCCCCCCCAAAAAACCUAGGCACAGAGCUUGCUUGAAGGAGAAAGAUUACCAUGAAAUCUUUAAAUGUUCUAAACACCAUCAGUAACAGCUGUAAAGGAGUGGGAACAGGUAUAAUAGGGAUUAGUGGAAAGAGCUUCACUGUAGCCAUGUACUUUUCUGUAUUAUUUAGUAUUCCUCUCUUUGAAGAACUGCCUUAUGAGUUGAAUAUGAA